CUUGCUUUCUCCGCCGGCGACCGGCGCACGGGUGAGUAACACGUAUGUCAACCUGCCCCUGUCAGGGGGACAACCCGCCGAAAGGCGGGCUAAACCCGCGUACAUGCCACCGGGGCAUCCCGGAGGCAGGAAAGGCUUCGGCCGGACAGGGAUGGGCAUGCGGCGCAUUAGGCAGUAGGCGGGGUAACGGCCCACCUAACCGACGAUGCGUAGGGGUUCUGAGAGGAAGGUCCCCCACACUGGUACUGAGACACGGACCAGACUCCUACGGGAGGCAGCAG
rnacentral:rRNA from 1 species